ensembl:lncRNA
AGCUUACCAAAAGAGCCAGGAAGAAAUGCCAGGGAAAUUAGGAAAGAUGUGACUUGUGACUUUGUUAAAUACCUGCCAAUGACACAGGUGCCUUCUCCCAUAAAAAGACAAGAGCCAUGGGUACCCCUUCUCCUCCAUCACCUGCGGCUGCACACACAUGCUGGGAGAGAAGAAACUCAGCUUACUUCUUCGGGACCAACACAAUGGUAGCUACAGCAUAUCAUCUCAUAUGUAACCUGAAAGUUGGUAGGAGCAGUAGACAGAGAUGUUGAAACCAUUGUUAACAUCUCAAUUACUUUUCAAGGAACAGAAGUAUCUGCAAGGUGGCAUCUUGGGAAUCAGGUGUUCUUCAGAGGUACUCAAGAACUUAAAGAGUAGUAUGGUCAGUGGAUAGUAAGUUUGGUUAAUUCCGGACCUGUUAACCAUUAAGACAAUGGACACUCUCAGCCUGUACCCCAGGAGCCUGUGUCUGCUUUAGGAAUCCCUAACAUUGUCCCAGAGAGAAGGGAUGUGAUCAGCAGGCCCAGGAAACUAUAAUCCAUUGCUUCCAAAUUCAACUAAACAAAUAUAAUGUACAUAAUUCCUGCCCUAAAGGAGUUUAUAAAUUAAUGAGGAAUGAAACAAUAUACAAAUCCUAAGUGAAAACCCAGAAAAAAAUAAGAUAAAAGGCUCAGAUCAAAGCAGAGCCUAGAGAAAGAAAAAGUAGAUGGGGUGAGAGUGGGGAGAACACAUAAAAGUUUACUUAGUCACAAAAAAAGAUUACUUAAGCAACACAGAGCCUAACAAGAGAUAUUUCAAGAUCACAUACUGAAUCAUGGAAUGAUUUAGUCCAGUCACAAACUGUAAUUAAUGCCCUAAAAUGAAACUCUAUAUUGAACAUAUACUAAAUGACAUUAAAGACAGAGUGAAUAUACAUAGUAGUUCCCUCCCUGUAUUGAUCACUACAAAGUAUUUUUCCUAUAUAUAUGGUCUUCUCUGGUCAUGACAACCUGUGAAAGAGGCAGCUAUUCUCAUUUUACACAAAGCUGAGGGGUGAACUGAUUUGCCCAAGAUUACACAGUUCUAAUAAGAGGCUGGGGUUCAAACUCAGUCCUGAUUCCCAAAUCUAGGAUGCCCUUUUCCCUACCUUGGGCUGCCUCCUGACUUAAGAAGACUAUACUACACCCUGAUCUAGGUCCAUAAAGCCCUUAGGUUCCUGCAAGAAGAUAUGUUAAUCUCUGAGCCCCUAGAAGCUCUGAAAUGUUGAUGCCAGGGGAUGGAAGUAAGAGAAGGAGAAGCAUAGGGAAAGAAUGGGGGAGCAUAGAGGAGUAGCAAAGAAGAAACUGAGCUUCUCUCAACCUUCCAUUAAAGAUUCAAUCAUCUUAAGAGCCUUAAAUCACUUCAUGUCUCUCUUAGCUCUGGGUCUACAUGUUGUUGUUGUUGUUUUUUAACUCUCCCUAGCUAUACUCUGGUCCAGGUACCCAGUGUUGCAUCAUGGUCUCAGGAGGUUGCUAGGAGUCAGAGUGAAGGUCACUACAUCCUGCCCUGGCAAUGAUUUCCCAACUGACACUGAAAAAUAGACAUCCUAAGUGAUGGAAUGACGAAUCCCUUCUAAGGGAAUGCCUGACACCCAGCAGGUGCAACACAACAUUAAGGACUGUUUCUAUGGUAAUCUUCAGUAGUGCAGAUACUGGUUGGGAAUUAGGAAAAAAACAAUAACUUUGCCAAUGAGCUGGUGUUUGCACUACAUCAAAACGGCAGAAAUAAAGUGUGCAAAGGGAUCUAUCCAAAUCAAAAGUACCAUCUGCGGGCUUAUCACCUUCUGAAUGCUGACAUUUCCUAAGACUCCCAGUAGAAAUUCUGUGUUUUUU